rnacentral:rRNA from 1 species
CUGGCUCAGAACGAACGCUGGUGGCGUGUCUAUACAUGCAAGUCGAGCGAGGCAGCAAUGCCUAGCGGCGAACGGGUGAGUAACGCGUAAGCAAUCUGCCCCAUAUCAGGAAAUACCCGUGCCAACGCGCGGUUAAUGUCCAGGAGCGUGGCCUUCCGCAUGGGAGGUUGACAAGAGAUUUAUCGGUAUGGGAUGAGCUUGCGUCCGAUUAGCUAGUUGGCGGGCAACGGCCCACCAAGGCGACGAUCGGUAGCCGGCCUGAGAGGGUGAUCGGCCACAUUGGGACUGAGAUACGGCCCAGACUCCUACGGGAGGCAGCAGUAGGGAAUAUUGCACAAUGGGGGAAACCCUGAUGCAGCAACGCCAACGUGUGGGAAGAAGCAUUUCGGUGUGUAAACCACUGUCGUGAGGGAAUAAGGCGUCUUCUCGGAGACGUUGAAUGUACCUCGAAAGGAAGCACCGGCAAACUUCGUGCCAGCCGCGGC